GUAGCGCCAUCUUUUCUUUCUAGUCCAUGGGUUCGCUGCCGGAAGUGAAGGAAAGCCAAAAGGAAGAAGAAAGAAGAGAGCGAAACACUGUCUCAAGUGUCUGAAGAAAACAAUUCCAAUGUUGCUGCUGACUUGAAAGACUUGAUUGGACCUUCAAAGAACAAAGCAGAAAAGACUGUGGAAAUACCCUGGGACAAAGAGGACGCACAGGACUCUGGCCCAGGUGACCAUUUGGGACCUUUGCCUGAGAAGGACGCAGCUCAGGAGUGGAGUGCUUUCAAGUUUUCCUUCUUUGGAGACACAGAGCAGUUGGGUAUCAAAGAAGGAAUUCAGGAAGGCAUGCUUUGAGAAGGCAUUGGGUACUUUGCAGAGUGGUGGAAAAGCUUGUUGUCAUGCCCUGAAUUCCUCAAAGAGGGCAAAAGGUAACAUACCAGUCAUAUCAAGUUUCCUAGAACCUGACAAGAUUUUAAAGGAAAUGUGUGUUAAUGUAGAGGGAAAAGCAUAAUCCUGGAGCAGACCCCAAGGUCCAUGAGCAUUCUGUUUGUUACUGAAUUCUAUUCUUGGACCUUUAGAAGAAGGAAACUGAAUACCACAUGAUCAUUGGGGUGUCCCAAUCUUAGAUAAAAUGAAGCUGUAUGAAAUGAAGAUGAAACAACAUUAGAUCGAGUCCUAGUCGUGUAGGAGAGAAAAGAAAUGUUGUGAAGUUAUCCAAAAUCCUAAAAAACCCAAUGCAACAGCACAAAGCAAGAAGCCCCCCACAUUUGUACUGAAUUCAGAAGGUAUUCAGUGUCUUCUGAAUGAAAUGAUAAAUGUUUAAAAAUAUAUAAGGGAUGCCUAGAACUAAGGGGAAAAUCCUGAAGCACAGAUACAGCUCAGAAAAUCUGGCAGGAGACGAUUCUGUCCUUCCGAAAUCUGUCUUUUCCAGUGUAUUUCACUUGCAAGGAGGAAUUUUUCCGGCCCAGCAGAGGAAUAAUCUGGUUUUGGCUUUUUUUCUCUACUGCUGCUGUUAUCGCAGAGCCUUACGUACUUGGAACAACAAAACCGGUACAAGUCACGUGGCAAGAGGAUUGACGUGUCCAAGACUGCAGUUCAGAGGGUGAUGAUGAACCCGAGAUGUCUGAAAUUGAAAAGGACCGAGAAAUGCAAGUUCCAUUGCUCUUUGUUGUCUCCUUGGCGGUAGUAGCUGGAUGCUGUGUCAAUAUUAACAGCAGCACUCAGCAAGUGGGAAACUGACAUUGCACGCCCCUGAAAGCCAUCUUGGAAAACCAUUUGUGCUGCACAGAGUCAAAACUUCCAGCAGCCCAUUUGCUGUCAGGUUGAAUGUGGAAAAAGGGAAGUAGAGCACAAGAAAUUUACCAGGUCAUUUGGGUUUGACCAACUCCAAACGGAGUUUGGCCAAAAGCCAAAGACACAGUCAGUUUCCUCUUUCAAAGUGGGUUUUGUAAAAUCAAAAGCUCUAUUUGGGUACUAGGGAAUAAAGUUUUUCAAUGUAUACAGUUUCUCUGAAGCACUACAGUUUCAAGUCAUGCGCAUGGAAUUUGAUAGUACAAUUUAGGAUGCUAAAAUCCCUUUGUAAUUGUCUAGGUUUCUCUCUUUACCACGCACUGAAAGUGCUAGAGUUUUCUUCUUCUCCGACGAUGAUGAACGCCUAAGAGGUAGGACAGAAUUUCUCCUCCCCCUUUUGUAUUUCUUUCCCUUCUGAACCUUUCCUGCACUAGUUAUGAAUGUUUUCUAGCAAAAUUUGCCACCCUUACUUGUGGCCAAAAUAGUGGUAGAAUCCCGUGAGCAAGUCCUGGUAAAAUAGAGGUCCAGCAGAUUUCUGGCUUUCUUUUCUUUCAGAUAUUUGGCUAAUAGGAAUCUGGACUUUUAGAGCUUAUCAAAAACUUAGUCACUUGACAGGUUACCUAGACAGUUUGGAUCCCUUCAGGUAUGUGUAGCAUCUUGAACUUUUUCCUGCCUUUCUUUCGGGUGUUACCAUCAGGAAUGUUGAGUUUGGCUUGUAUGUGCCUGUGGUUCUUCGUCCUCAUGAAUCUGGGGCUUUCUCUUCUGAAUCCAGUGAAUUUGGUGUUUAGAAACAAAGCAAACAACAGCAAAAGGGAACAUACACAGUCCCCCAAAACUGCACAGGCCUCCAGAACAAUUGCUUGUUAUAUUUUGUAGAAUAUGUAGUCUUAAGACAGGCUCAAAGGCUGUGCCUUUCUUGAGACUGAUUGGUUAACUCUGAUGCAAGGUACUGCUGUGUCCAUGCAGUUACCGGCCUGCAAUCUCCCCGCCUGUCUGAUUUACAGGGUGUGUUGAA